rnacentral:lncRNA from 1 species
AUUUGUUGAGCUAAUGUGACUACCAUGUGGCAGCAUAUUGAGGUUAGCAGGCUUGUUAAAGGGCGACCUUUGGACAACUUGGAGUUCCUGCAAUGGCUGAAACGUUACUGUGAUUCUGUGAAUGGUGGCAUUAUGAAUGAGUAUGCUACUUGCUCUGUGUUCUUUCUGAUCCUUUAAACAGCUUUGAUUGAUAUUACUUGUAGGAAUACUUUAUUAUAUCAUUGCUAUUAUGAUGUAAUUGCUUGAAUUAUAUAUGUCGAAGUCCAAUGCAUAAUUUUCAUUACUAAUAUUUAAAUUUGCAUAACUAUGUUCUAUCUAUAUCUGUUAUCAAAGCCUUUUUUUUUUCUUCUUUUUUUCUGUAGGAACUAUAAUCCUGUGGAGCGUAGGGUAAAGGGUGGAAAGGACAAAAAUCCUAAGAGUUUAAGGAGCUCAAAGUCACUUCAAUCAAAUGCAAUGAAUAAUUCUGGGUCAAGCGAUGCACUCAGUCCACCUAGAAACUCAGGUUGGCUUAUUGGCAUCUAUGACCCUAAACUGUUGUGCAUUUUUUCCUAAUGGUUGUUUCAUGUUACUCUCCCUUUACUUUUUCCCUUUUUGAUUAAUGUACUUUUGAGUGUAGGACCUAAGCAAUCGAGGUCAAGUGGAGGAUCUGAUGGGGCUAAUUCAUCAGCAGAGAUUCAGGCCUUGUCCAAGCAGGUAUGACUCUGAAAGUUAUACUUGCUGCAACUGCUAUGAUUAUCAAAAUGGCAUACAAGAUAAAACUCCUUUAAGCAUUGAAAUCCAACUGUAAACAUAUUACUUAGAAUAGAAUUAUGAUAGAAUACUGCAAAUUAAGAGGAAUGAGGGCCCAAAGAGUGUGGCCCCACUCACCCAAGUCACACACCCCACACACAUUUAGUUUCUAGAAUGAUGGAUGGAGGGAAUAAAAGCUAGUUAAUAAUGUAUCUUAUUCUACUGAUAUUCUAUUAAAGGAAUGUGGGAAGAUGAAGUGGGAAAGACAUUCAGUUUCAAGAAGGAUGAAUGGAAGGAAUAAAAGCUAGUUAAUAACGUCUGACAAAGUUGAGGCUUUGGAGAUACGAAUGGCUGAGAUGGAAGGUUCGGUGCGUCAAACCUUGGAUGAAUUUCCUCAUGCCAUUUUGACAGAGUUUGCGAAACUGUUGAAUCAGCCUACACCUAGGGUGUCACAGACAAUCAAGCCGCCAAUUACAGAAUACAAGAUGGCGGUGCAGAAGGUGGAGCUGCCGUCAUUUGAUGGUGACGAUCCAGUGGAGUAGAUCAUGCGAGCAGAGACAUAUUUUGAGGUACAGGGAAUAUCUAAAGAAGUGUAGGUUCGUUUGGCGAAAAUUAGCAUGGAGGGAACACCCAUUCAUUGGUUUAAUCUUCUACGUGAAACGGAGGAUGACCUCACAUGGUUAAAGUUGAAGGAAGCGCUGUUUGAGAGAUAUGGAGGAAGAAAGAGCGAUAAUCCAUUCAAAGAAUUGAAAGAUCUUCAACAAACUGGAGAUGUGGAACAGUGCAUUUCAGAUUUUGAAUAUUUCUCUUCCCAGGUUAUGCGACUCCCCGAAGAAAAAUACCUUGGGUAUUUUUUGGGUGGCCACCAAUUAGAGGUACGUUUGCGAGUAAGGACCUUCAAUCCUAAGACACAUGUGGAGGCGAUGAAAUUGGCUCGUGAUGUUGAAAUAGAGUUACGGGGUGUGUUGAAUUACAGAGGAAGCAGAGGUGGAGGUCGUUCGCGAAACUGAAAAGGGGGAAGAGAAGGAAGUAAUGGGCUUACUAAUAGAAACAGGUCCGGACUGGGUCUUUUUCCAGGCUCAAACAAGGGAAAUGCGAGUUUUGGGCCAAGUGGGGGAACCCAAUCCAGAAAUACUCAAAUUGAGUCAAAUCCUAACCCGAAAUUGAGCAUGCAAAGAUCCAACUGGAAUUGGAACCAAACACGAACAAAUGGCGAUGAGGAGCGAUGGAGGAACCACGAAAAUCGAAAUAGGGGAACCAAUCAUCUUCACUAUUCUGAACUAAUGGAUCAUAAGGUGCAAGGCCUCUGUUUUCGAUGUGAGGAAGGUUCCAUCCUCUUCAUCAGUGUGCUGACAAAUAGUUGCGUUUGGUGAUUCUAGGAGAUGAUGAAGUGACAAACGACGCCGGUGAAGUCCUAGCUAUCGAACUGAAAGAAGGGGAGGACAACGCUGCAAUAAUGUGCAACUCCACGAUGCUGUUUGGAAUAGAAGAGAAAGGCAGAGCUCGAAAUUUGUUCCCUUUUCUCCUACAUUUGGAAGGUACCGUGAAGGGCAUACCAGUCACAAUGAUGGUGGACACUGGUGCUAGUCACAAUUUUGUGACUCCUCAAAUGGUUGCAGUUUUGCAACUUCCAGUAGAACAGAUCCCGAUUACGAACGCGAAAUUUGGAAACGGUUCCCAUGUGAUCAUAACAGAGAAGUGUGGGAAGUUUGACGCAAGGUGAGGACAUGAUUUUGGGAGUGGCUUGGCUGCAUAAGCCAGGCAAGGUGUUAUUUGAUUGGGAAGAAGUGGCAAUUUGCUUGGACUGGAAAGGGAAAGCUAUGAAGUUGCAAUGUCAAAAUCCGGAGAAUUGGAGAAUCAAUUAGGAAAAAGAACUUAAUUUUGUUACCACGAAUAUACUAAGGCCAAGAAAAAUCAUAACAUGGGAAGGGAAUAAGGAAACCGUCAGUUGGGAACCUGGAAGUCUACCACUGAAUCAAUGUCUUAAUGUUAGCCUUGAGGACAAGGCUCAUUUUGAAACGGGUGACAAUGAUAGAACACUGCAAAUUAAGAGGAAUGAGGGCCCAAAGAGUGGGCCCCACUCACCCAAGUCACACCCCACACACAUUUAGUUUCUAGAAUGAUGGAUGAAGGGAAUAAAAGCUAGUUAAUAAUGUCUCUCUUAUUCUACUGAUAUUCAAUUACAUGAAUGAGGGAAGGCGAAGUGGGAAAGCAUUUAGUUUCAAGACGGAUGAAUGGAAGGAAUAAAAGCUAGUUAAUAACGUCUCUUAUUUUAUGUUAUAAGAAUGAGAGAAUAGGAAGAGGGGAAGAUAUUCAGAAAAUAUUCUAAGAAAUAAUUAGGGGAAUUCUUUUAGUUAGGAGCAAUUAUGCUCUGAUUUAGGAGUUCUUAGAACUCUUGUUCAGUUUUUCUUUUUGCAUCCUUUCCCGAUCUCGUUAUUGUAAGAAAUACUACUUUGAAUUUUAAGAAAUAAUAUACCUUUUUCUUCCAUUAAAAUUAUGAGUUCUAUCAAAUUCUAUAUUAAUUAAAUAGCUUGAAGUAUGUAUUAUGUUGACAUUAAUGAUUUUCCUGAUGCUAGACCCUUAUACAUGCUUCAAUAUCUGCGUUUUAAGUUUUUCCCUUGAUAUUUAACGAAAGCAUUAUUUACCUUUGUUUUGUUCAUUAUUAUCCUGAUUUUUGUUUCUCAGGUUACUGAUCUCAAAAUCUCGGUGGAUCUCUUGGAAAAGGAAAGAGACUUUUACUUUUCAAAACUACGAGACAUAGAAAUUCUUUGUCAGACAACAGAACUGGAGAAUGAACCUGUAAGAAUUGUGGCAAAGGCUUGCAGUUUAGUUAAUUUUACUUUUACAUUUCAAAACUGAGGUCGUAUAAUGAACGAUUUUCUUUUACCUAAAUUUCCUAAUACCUUCGAUUGUCUCGAAAUUUCCUAAUACCUUCAAUUGCCUAAAUUUCUGAAAGGUCGUUUAAUGAAUGAUUUUCUUCAAUUAGAAAACAUUUGGCUGUGGCAAUGACAUAUAUUGUUCACAGGUUAGGUUUAGUGUAUGCAAUAAGGUGUUUUCUACUUCUACGUCCAUGUCAAUUCGGUGUUUCUCCCUCUUCAAAUACUACAUGGAUUGUAACCGCUAUGUUUCUCAAAAUUGUAUAUGUUUGCUUUGUAUGAUCCAGCUUGAAAAUGUGUUAUGUAUUGGUGUUGAAGAUAGUUACAAUUCUUCAUAUAUAUUUAAAAAUAUAUGAAGAUUUUGUGCCUAGAUCUAGGUUAAUAAUGAAAAUACUCGAUCAUGUUGUGGUUCAUAUAUUAUUUGAAUUUUGACCAUCUAUGGCUGUUAUACUCUUAGCAGUCAUUGAAAAUGAAUUAAAUAAAGAAUGCAUGUGUAAUGUGUUACUACUUUAUGCAGAUAUCUGUAGCAAUUAAGAAGAUUUUGUAUGCUGCUGAUGCAAAAGAGUCAGCAUUAGAUGAAGCACAGGCUUACAUUAGUCAAACUUUGGAUGGUGAUGAAGAUGAAGAUGAACCAGAAACUGAAGCCUGAUUACUCACUCACACAGCUUUUUAGCUAUUUUUUCUCUCCUUGUAAGCCUGGAUGGAUAAUCAGUGGAUAUUUUGGUUAAUUCCAAUAAACAAAGUUCAUUUCAUCAACUAUUUUGAAAAUAUCCCAUUGUAUUUUAGAUGUAUAUUAGGUCGUCUCUGAUGUUUCAAAUUAGCCACUGCCAUGCUUUUUGAAUAAUUACAUGCAUGUCUGUUUCCAUGGUGGGAUUAUUCUCAAUCCUACUGCAAAACCAAACAUAUGCUUAUACGAGGAGGGGAAUGGAAGUCAGUAUUUCAUGAGUCACUUAAUUUUGGCUCUCUUCCAAUAUUUGGGGAGAAAUAAUUUGGAAGAGAUGAGUUUUGAUUUUUUUCAAGUUUUAAAAUAUGUUCAAUAAAUAAUGUUAAAUAAAGAUUAUAAGAAUGAAAAAAGAGUUAAAUAUAUUCAAAAUUUCUAUGAAGAUGAAAAACCGAAAGAGUGAAAUUGCUUAGAUGAUAUGGAUUACAACCGAAAGAUUAAAACAAAAUUACAAGCAACUAUACCACGCCGCACCAUUUGUUUCAAGUGUCGUGAAGAUGAAGAUUACUGUGCAUUUAAAUAGCCCAGCCUUUUCUCACUGAACUAAUCGGAGCCAAACACUCCUGUACCUCAAUCAACGUCCCAAACACAUUAUUCGUCCCUUGAAUAGUGUCUACUUGAUUUAAUUUGACUACAUCCUCCUACUAUGUGUCACAAUGAUAUUUUUUGUUGGUUAGGUUUGCGGGUUUAAAAUAUUAAAUCUGAUAUUUGAAUCAAACAUCAUUGGUUUAAAUAGGUUAGUUUGGGUUAGACCUGAACUUGAAUGG